rnacentral:rRNA from 1 species
AGUGAACGCUGGCGGUAGGCCUAACACAUGCAAGUCGAACGGCAGCACAGUAAGAGCUUGCUCUUACGGGUGGCGAGUGGCGGACGGGUGAGGAAUACAUCGGAAUCUACUUUUUCGUGGGGGAUAACGUAGGGAAACUUACGCUAAUACCGCAUACGACCUACGGGUGAAAGCAGGGGAUCUUCGGACCUUGCGCGAUUGAAUGAGCCGAUGUCGGAUUAGCUAGUUGGCGGGGUAAAGGCCCACCAAGGCGACGAUCCGUAGCUGGUCUGAGAGGAUGAUCGGCCAAAGUGGAAAGGAGACAAGGUGCAGACUGAGAAGGGAGGCAGCAGGAGGGAAUGUAGAGCAAGGGGCGAAAGAGUGAAGGAGCAAAGCAGCGGGAGGGAGGAAGGGAUUAGGAUAGUAAAACUCUGUUAUUAGAGAAGAACAAAGGUGUAAGUAAAUAUGCGCGUCUGGACGGUAGAGAAUAAGAAAGCCACGGCUAACUAAGUG